GACAGAGGGUGCAAACGUUGUUCGGAAUUACUGGGCGUAAAGCGCGUGUAGGCUGCUCGGAAAGUCGGAUGUGAAAGCCCUGGGCUCAACCUAGGAAGUGCAUUCGAAACUUCCGAGCUGGAGUUCUGGAGAGGAAGGCGGAAUUCUCGGUGUAGAGGUGAAAUUCGUAGAUAUCGAGAGGAACACCGGUGGCGAAGGCGGCCUCCUGGACAGUGACUGACGCUGAGACGCGAAAGCGUGGGGAGCAAACAGG
rnacentral:rRNA from 1 species